rnacentral:rRNA from 1 species
AGUGAACGCUGGCGGCGUGCUUAACACAUGCAAGUCGAACGAGAACGGAUUAUAGCUUGCUAUAAUUGUCAGCUAAGUGGCGCACGGGUGAGUAAUGUAUAGGUAAUAUGCCUCUUACUAAGGGAUAACAAAUGGAAACGUUUGCUAAUACCUUAUACUCCUUAUUAACAGAAGUUAAUAAGGGAAAGAUUUAUUGGUAAGAGAUUAGCCUGUAUUGUAUCAGUUAGUUGGUGGGGUAAUGGCUUACCAAGACUAUGACACAUAACUGGUUUGAGAGGAUGAUCAGUCACACUGGAACUGAGACACGGUCCAGACUCCUACGGGAGGCAGCAGUGGGGAAUAUUGCACAAUGGACGAAAGUCUGAUGCAGCAACGCCGCGUGGAGGAUGACACAUUUCGGUGCGUAAACUCCUUUUAUAUGAGAAGAUAAUGACGGUAUUAUAUGAAUAAGCACCGGCUAACUCCGUGCCAGCCGCCGCAGUAAUAC